CGCUUGCCCUCGACGUCCGUUCCGCCGCGGUGCUGCUCUCUGUCUUUCACGGUAUGCCUACGCCCAGGAUUUGUAUCUUUCCAUCCGCGUUACUCUCUUCGUUUCUUCUCUCUCUGUGUGUGCUCUCUGCAAGACCUGUCGUGGUGCUUCUCCCUCUGAGUCUUUUAUUUUCUUCUUCCCUCUUCCCCGGCCCUGCCUUUACGGACACAGUCCCUCGUGCAAACAUACUCCCUCUGCACCCGGCAACAGUCCUGGGGCUAACUCCGCCCCCUUGCAGCCCGUCCUCCCUCGCUCUUCUUUCCCGUCUUCCACAUCGGAGAAAUCGAAAGAACGGACGAGAAGGCUCACUGACAUCAGUGACACACCUAAACACACACACACACACACACACACACACACACGCACAAAAUGAAAGUCAUUCUCAAAACAAUUACUGGAAAACAGCACGAGGUGGAUGUGGAGGCGACCUCGACCAUUCUCGAUGUUAAGAGGUUGCUGGAGGACGAGUACGAGCCAGCGUCGUUGCGACUGUGCUUCAAUGGCGCCGUGCUGGAGGACAGCAGGAUGCUGGCGGAUGCUGGAGUCAAAGACAACGACUCGCUUGUGCUCGCCGGGCGCAAGCGAAAGAUUCCGAAGCCGCCAGCACCGCAAACGGCGGAGCCACCAAAGACGGAGGCGGCGCCUGAGAGUAGCGCACCUGCAUCUUCUGCUACGCCGCCAGCGGCGAUGCCCACGCCUGCUUUGACCACAACGACCCCCGCCACCUCCGCUGCCACUGUUGACCCACCAGCACCCGCUGUUCCUGCUUCCGCUGCAGCUCCUUCCGCUCCUGUCGCUUCUACGACCCCAGCGGCCUCUGCUGUUCCUGCUGCGUCUGCUGCCUCCGCAACUAACACGUAUGGCGUGUCCCUCAACCUGAUCGACGAGGUGGCGUCGAUGGGCUUCGAGGACCGCAAUCAAAUUGCUUUGGCGUUGCGCGCCGCUUUCAUGAACGUCGAACGCGCCGUGGAGUACCUUUUCGAAGGCAUCCCACCUCACCUUGUGGAGGAGCUCACGCCCUUCAGUGCUCUUACCGCACCCGCAGCGGCUCCGGGAGCAUCGAAUCCGUCCGCGUCUUCUGCAGCCGCGGCCGUACCGGCGUCGGACUCUCCAGCGCCUGCAGUCGCGCCAUCCACCGCCGAGUCGGAGAUGCGCGCCGCCCUCUCGCGCAUCCCGCAGUUUGAUGAAAUCCGUAUCCUGUACAACCAAAACACGGACACGCUGCCAGUGGUGAUGCAGCAGAUUGCGCUGCGUCACCCGGCUGUAUACGAGCAGAUUGAGCGCGAUCCGGAGGUAUUCCUAUCUAUCAUGGGUGAGUCAGGGCAGCCGGGCAGUGCGAGCGCUCCGGCCGGGCCCGCCGCGCUGUCGACAGCACAGGCUGUCGUGGGUGACGCGGAAGAAAGCAGCUUCAUGAAUCAGCUGCAGAGCGGGCUCGAGUUGACUGCUGAGGAUCGCACGGCGGUGCAGCAGCUCGUCGAGUUAGGUGGUGGCAUGUGGGACGAACAGAGCGCUGUGCUAGUCUACCUUGCUACCCAGCGCAAUCAAGAGGUGGCGGCGAGUGUCUUGUUCGAGCACGGCGGUGUUCCGGCAGAGCUGCUGGCGGAGAUUGCCACCCAAAUGGUCGACGAGGAGGCGGAGGACUACGAGGAUGAGCAAUGAUGGGAGAGAGGGAGGGGUGGCUGCUGUCGAUGUCUUUGAAUGAUGCUCAUUGGGUUGCCGCUUUUACAUAGUUUCCUCUGGCACUAUUUUCUCGCGAAUACCUGUAUUCAUCCUUGCUUCACUUUCGCCUCCUCUGUUAUCCUGCCACGUGAGCCUCACGCUACUUUGCUCUUCAUGCGGUGGCAAUGGUGGCAGUGGCAGCGGUGAUUCGUGGCUGUGAAGAAGAGAGAGGAGCCAAGUAAAAGCGCCGUGACGUUCCCUGUCACUUCUCCGCUUUCUCACGUUGUUCCGUUGAGUCGUCUUUUUCACUCGUAGUUGUCUUGUUGUGCUUUGGUGGACGCGCUUGGCUGCAUCUGUGUGUGCCUGCCGGCUGCUGUUUUGUUUGUUGCACGGAUGCACGAUGUGUGUGUAACCUCCAUCCACUGCUGCGAUUGCGCUGCCGAGCACUCAUUCCCUGUUGUGUCUUGUUGUUUCUUCGCUUCGUUACGAUGAAGAGCUUCGGUGUGCGUUCUUACUGCGCUUCUUCGUUUGUUCCGUUCCUCUGCGACCCCGAGGACGGAGGGAGACCUGAGUGCGUGGUAUCUCAGGGUCCAGUCCCCCAUGCAGUGGGAGGCGACUAGGCGGCCCCCCUAUCCCUGUCCAUGCCGAGACACUUCCGGUGGCGACAAGGGCCAGGCACCUUCGAGGUGGGGAAGUCGGCGCAGUGUGUCGCUACCGAUGUCGGCAGCCAGGCCCUGGAUGGCGUGGUGUCGAAGCCGCCCGAGCCAGUGAGCACGUUGGUGCCACUCACAUGAUUAGGCAGAGCGUCAGCGUGACUCGAGCAUAUCCCGCCCGGCCCUCACACAGCCUACCAGUGGGAGGGAAGCCUGAGCCGCCUCAGGGAGCGGAUGCACCAGGUGGCGCCCGGCGUGGUGGGUUGAGUUUGAGACAGGGGCCGUGCUCUCAGAUGGCGGAAUCGGUGCUCGGCUGUAACGCGUCUGUCUACAGUAUGCUUCGCACGACGCGGUAGGGGGCCUGUGCCAGACUGGGUGGAGUGGAGCAGAGGCCAUGCUCUGUGGCAGAAUAGAUACGUUGAAGGGCAAAAGUAACAUAGCCCUGAGGUCAGUGCCUGUGCCUGGUUUGUACUCCACUGCUGCAUUUAGCGCAAGGUUUCUUUGCUUCGAUGACGACGCGAUGCGCGCUACCGGGAGACCUUCUUUGUGGCCUUCGACACGCUUCGGUCCAUUCUGAGCACGGAGCUGCAUUCUUGGCUCUCCUGCUCGGUUCUGCCGUGUGCUACGCACGCCCUGUCGCACUUAAGAAGUCGCAGAAAGUUGUGAAGCAGCAUCAGGAAAAGCUGAAAGCCAAGAGGAUAGAUGAGAUCCGACAAGCAAGGAAACACAGACAAAGAAGGCCGCCUGCACCUAUUGUACAGCUGGCCUCUGGUUCCCCGCUAGGGAGGCGAGGGGAUAGAGAUACAUGUGCGAGUAUCCCCUGUCAACGACCUUGCCUUGUGGGAGAGCAGCAUUCAUUAUGCCGCUGUUCCUCGGGGCUGUCACAGAUGACUGUGUGGGCGUUUGACAGGGAGAUGAAAUGCCUCACGCACAGCUAGCGGCACACCCACUCGCCUCCUCUCCGGCGUUUCCAUGGCCUCCUCAACUCUCCUUGUCCUUGCUUCUCUUUCGCUUUCUGUCGUGUUGCUCUCCACCCGGUAAUGAGACGGCAG
rnacentral:misc_RNA from 1 species